rnacentral:tRNA from 1 species
UAAUUGAAACCAAAAAGAGGUUUGUUACUGUUAAUAACAAUAUUGAAUAAUGUUUCCAAUUAAA